GGACUUGUAGCUCAGUAGGUUAGAGCAACAGACUCAUAAUCUGAAGGUCCCAGGUUCAAGCCCUGGCUGGUCCA
rnacentral:tRNA from 1 species